ACCCCAAUCAAACAGGAUUCAGUGGGCGGAACCGAAAUUGUGAAUUUUGCAGCCAACGCACGCUUUUUCAGCAACCCUCGCGCGUUUUUUACCGUGCGAGGGUUGCGCAAAAAGCGCGCGGGUGUUGCGAAAUUCAAACUCUCGGCUCCACCCACUGUGAAUUCCGUUUUCGAAAAUACUUCAAAACUUCUGGCUUAACUGAAAUUUGUUGGAAAAAUUACACGA
ensembl:ncRNA R08C7.17 ncRNA